UACGGAGGGGGCUAGCGUUGUUCGGAAUUACUGGGCGUAAAGCGCGCGUAGGCGGCUUCGUAAGUUAGAGGUGAAAGCCCGGAGCUCAACUCCGGAAUUGCCUUUAAGACUGCAUCGCUAGAAUCAUGGAGAGGUGAGUGGAAUUCCGAGUGUAGAGGUGAAAAUUCGUAGAUAUUCGGAAGAACACCAGUGGCGAAGGCGACUCACUGGACAUGUAUUGACGCUGAGGUGCGAAAGCGUGGGGAGCAAACAGGG
rnacentral:rRNA from 1 species